AUGCGUAAGAGGGGGCGCGGAGCGCGGGCGAGCCCUCGCCUUGCCGACUGUGCCCACAGCCGCGGCCGUGCCUGCAGGGGCCGGGCCCCAGCCGCCAGGGGCUGCCCGUGCUCGGGCCGUGCUGCGGGCGGGCUGGGCACGCCUUGGUAAAAGCAGUGAAAGUUUCACCCUGCGGGGCCGAGCUGUCGAGGAGGCAACGCAGGAGAGUUGGUUGUGCCCAUUGGUAAAGGGCCGGGUGGGGAGCAGGGCUGCUGUGCAGGUGGCGGCCAAGGGUGAGGUAUGGCAGCUGGGGCAGGAGCCUACUGCUGGCCUGCCCAGCCCAGCCCCCGCUGCCCACCUUCCGUCUGCCUAGCCCAGACCCCGCUGCCGACCCUCUGCCCAGCCCAGACCCCGCUGCCGACCCUCUGCCCAGCCCAAACGCUGCAAUUGCACAGAACCACUCUUCGACGCGGUCUCUGUGGCCCAACUCUGCUCCCUCUCAGCCCUGCUACCCCUGGGGGAAAUGGCGGGUUUUGCCCCUGUGGAUUUGCUUUCGCCUGCAUCCACUCAAGAGAUUUCGAUGCACCAGAACCUGAUCUCAUCAUGGGUUACCACAUGUUUUACAGCAGUGAUUUUUUUCCUAUUUAUUGAACCAAACGACAGUUUUUUCUCCUGCUGGUGCUGGAUGGAUAUUGUGAAAAAACAUGUAGACUUUAAUUCUAGUCUUCAAACUCAUAUGAAUGUGCUCAGUCCUGGGAUGUCGCUGAUAAAAUAUAUUUUAUAUAUCAUGCAUAUGUAACAUAAAAUGACAGAAUAAUCAAACAUUUGCAAGAUUGAAUACUUCCAUAAAUAUUUUCUUCCUUCAUAUUUCUUGUGAUCUUUGGAAAAAGUAACAAAUGUUCAUACAGACUUUACAGCUACCCUAGACAGUGGUGGUGAAUAAUUUGGUAGACUAUUUUGUCAUUUAUCUGUCUAAACUAAUUUUUCUCUUCACACAAUACCAGCUUUUCUCAAGUAAUUCUUAGGUCAUCUUCCCUGGAGGCCAAACAUACUUCUCUUUCAGUGUUUAAUUUUUUGAUCUGCCAUCACUUGUUGAAAGAUGUUUUUAACAAAAUGAAAAUGAGACUGGGUCUGUUUGUUGUCUGUUAAUGGGUAGAAGCAAAACUCUGACUUUUCUGCUGGCACAGGCAUCAUGGUGUAUGGUAUGGGCCAACCGCUCCUACUAAUGAAUCUAUACAGCAGUCCUUGGCCUAGAAGUUCAAUACAAAACUAAGAGAGGAUGGUCUCAAGCUGUAACAGAAAAAAUAAGAGAACAUAGACCAUCAGUAGUUCCUUCCUGCUGAUUUGGGGGAUGAAAGACCAGGGGAAGUUAAGAGUGCCUGAAGAGUUGGUAUGCCUGGGACCGUAUAGUUUGAAUACCAUCCAUGUUCACAGCUUCCUCAGACUAAAAUCAAAGGACUAAGCAGGAGAUUACUCCUGUUCAGUGAAUGCGUUGUCAAAUGAUAUAAUGCAAUAGUGAAAAAUGCCAGCAAUUACAAAGACUCGCUAGGUACUUUGACUGUGCUAAGCAGAGAAAUGAAAGUAUCAUAGUCCUCAUUAUAUGCUUUCCAUUUGGGAAUGGAUGUAGAAGCAUAUUUUCAUUUUAGGAAGUUAAAAAGGUGAAACGAAAUCUUGUAUGAUUUAGGUAUAUUUUGCUUAUUCUUAUCUCCCUGAGAAUAAUAGCAAAAUAAUAGCUUUGAUCAUGUCAUUUUUCUUCUCCCCCCCCCAAGCUAUGAUACUGCUGGCUUAAUAAUAACUUCUUUGCUUAUAUUUUUCUUGAACCUCUUGAGCUGGAGAUGUUCUGGUUUUGAUUUGUGCAUCUUUCAAUUGUGUAAUUUAGUGCCAAAAUAUAGUAUACUUUAACAGCCUUCCUAUCUAUGAAUUUGUAAAUGGAGCCUACAAAUUUGUGCAAGUAAUGGAAAAUGCAGACAGUAAUGUGAGACUUCUAUUUUGCAAACCAGCAGAUUGUUCUUGGAACACAGUUACUCUGAGACCUUGAUCAAUAAAGAAUGCAUUGUAAGAUUCUAA